rnacentral:rRNA from 1 species
GUAGGUGGCGAGCGUUGUCCGGAUUUACUGGGCGUAAGGAGCGCGCAGGCGGUCGUACAAGUCGCGUGUGAAAGCCCCCGGCUCAACUGGGGAGGGUCACGCGAUACUGUUCGACUCGAAGGCAGGAGAGGGAAGCGGAAUUCCCGGUGUAGUGGUGAAAUGCGUAGAUAUCGGGAGGAACACCAGUGGCGAAGGCGGCUUCCUGGCCUGUUCUUGACGCUGAGGCGCGAAAGCUAGGGGAGCAAACGGGAUUAGAUACCCCGGUAGUCCUAGCCGUAAACGAUGGACACUAGGUGUUGGUGGUAUCAACCCCGCCAGUGCCGAAGCUAACGCAUUAAGUGUCCCGCCUGGGGAGUACGGCCGCAAGGCUA